GACGAACGCUGGCGGCGUGCCUAACACAUGCAAGUCGAGCGAAGUACUUGUCAUGAAGCCUUCGGGCGGAUUGAUAAACUACUUAGCGGCGGAUGGGUGAGUAACGCGUGAGGAACAAAAACUUCCACAAGGGGAUAGCCUCGGGAAACCGGGAUUAAUACCCUAUGAUACUUAAGAUCCGCAUGGAUUUUAAGUUAAAGCGUUAGCGGUGGAAGAUGGUCUCGCGUCCCAUUAGCUAGUUGGUGAGGUAACGGCUCACCAAGGCCACGAUGGGUAGCCGGCUUGAGAGAGUGACCGGCCACACUGGAACUGAGACACGGUCCAGACUCCUACGGGAGGCAGCAGUGGGGAAUAUUGCACAAUGGAGGAAACUCUGAUGCAGCGACGCCGCGUGAGCGAUGAAGGCCUUCGGGUCGUAAAGCUCUGUCCUAUGGGACGAUAAUGACGGUACCAUAGGAGGAAGCCCCGGCUAACUACGUGCCAGCAGCCGCGGUAACACGUAGGGGGCGAGCGUUGUCCGGAAUUACUGGGCGUAAAGGGUACGUAGGCGGUCUUGUAAGUCAGAUGUGAAAGGCAUGGGCUUAACCCAUGUAAGCAUUUGAAACUAUGUGACUUGAGUUAAGGAGAGGAAAGUGGAAUU
rnacentral:rRNA from 1 species